UUUAAAGAAAAAACAGAAAAAAGUCUAAAACCUAGAUGUACGUCCUGCCUACAGCACCAUGGUUGAGCCAGCUGGGGACUCGUGGAGUGGUUGCAUGUUCCCCCUGUGUCUGCGUGGGUUUUCUCCGGAUAUUCCGGUGUCCUCCCACCUCCAGACACAUGCUCACUGGACAUGCUGCUAUAGAUACACUUGACCCUAGGUGAGGGUGUGAAUGUGAAUGGUUGAGUGUGAAUGGUUGUUUGUCUAUGUGUUAGCCCUGCGAUACCCUGCCUCUCACCCGAUGACAACUGGGAUAGGCUCCAGCAACCCCUGCGACCCUAGUGAGGAUAAGUGGUAGCUGAAGAUGAUGUCAAUGUAUAUGAGACGAAAUGAGAUGAACUGAUACUCAUUUACCUUGGGAAUGUUUUUAAAUCCAUGCUUUUUACUUCAACCUGCGGUUUGUUUACUGCGGUCCCUAGGUUCCAAGCAGUUUAAGAUUUCUGCCUGCUCAAGAGUGGACAUGUUUGCCACCAAAAACCUUUGCUGAAAUUAGACGUUUUAGCAGGAGCACAGAGGUCUUGAGUUCAGUGAGUUCAAAUGGAAACUAAAUCACUGCCAGUCUGUUCAAACCACUCUGUUCUAGUUGGGUGAAAGGAGCAGAAAUAUUGACAUUAAAGCAAACUAAUUACUCUUCAACAGGGCAAAUCACUGCAGUGCGUAUGAACAGUGACACACAACAAACAAGUCAGUAGCCACUGCAUCAGUUCCCCAUAGCACAUGCAUUCCUAGGAUUGCUGCUAUAGAUAAACUGAUCUGAUAAGGCGACGUUAUCAUUACUUUCAUUGUGGUCCUGUACAAAUAUGCUGUCACUAUUUCAACGAUUCCAAAUCACAAGGAUUUUUGUCGAAAGAUUUUGGUGGGGAGAUGGUACACCCACGAGAAGUUCUGACCACUGACACACUGUAUGAACUCAGGGAGUAAUGUUACAUUCAGCAGUGGUCUGAGAAAUGUUUAACAGUGUAAUCAGGCCAUAAGAUGUGCUGGGAAAUCUAUUGGGAUCAUUGGCAACAGAUCUUCAAGGACUAUGUGGAUUUCUUGUUAACGUCUUGGUGCCAGAUACCUGCAGAGGUUUUUGCAGGUUGGAAGUGUUUUGGCGGCGCACAAAGAACCAACGGUAUUUUAGUCAAGGAUGGUAAUAAUGUUCUGGUUCAUCAGUUUGUGUUUCAAUCGGCAAAAUCAUUCCUUUCACUCCUAAGUGAGGACGUCUUAAGUGGAUGGUGAUGUGACCAAUCCACAUCAAACACAGGUUUGCUUUGACAACACUAUCGCUGUGGAUUACUAGAAAUUUCACUUCAAACGCUAUCAGUCAUUCACAAUAACAUGGCAAUUCAAGUUAUUUCAGUGUGGUGACAUCUACAACAUUUUAAAAGAGAGGACAAUGGUACCAGGUUGAUACUCAACCUUGAAUUGAUAACCUUGUUUCUAACUCCUCUAACUAAACUUGCAAUCUCAGAUACAGUAACUAAUCUCCGUCAAGGUCUGUGGAGCAUUAUGUCAAAAGGUCACCCACACGUUUCUGUCCGAAAGCUGCACGGCAAGUCUUUCACCUUCACUGUCUCAACCUGGCCAUGAAUGUCUAUUUUUUCUAGAAGUACUGCAGUAAUUCAGGACAAGCUGCUCGGACGGUUUGAUCCCGAGCAAUCGUACAGUUUUAAAAAAAAAAAAAAAGUUGCACUCAGCUUUUCUACAGCCUUCGGAAAGGGCAAGGGUGCCGCAGCUGAUGAUGCAAGAUCGUGCUCUGUCUCGUAAGGGAAUGAUAGAUAAGGAGCAGAGAUUGCAGGGCAGAGGCAGUCAAGCCUUAAAAGUCACCAGUUAAGAGCUAAAAAUCAAAUGAAUAAAUUCAAAAAAUUCACUGGUGCGAUAGAGGUGCUCCUGCAGGUUCAGGUUCUGAGCAUUUCGUCAGUACUUUGUGGAAAGAGAAAGCGCUUGAAGAUUUUGUAUGACACAACUUAACGCAAUGGUUUUACCUUCCAAAUCCCUAACCCUUUACCUGUCCUAUCUUCAAAUGCCAUACUAAAGACAUAAGCUGAACAUUAAAUAGACUACUUUAGAGUGUGGGAAAAAUCACCAUUCUCUUUGACACCUUUUUUUAAAUAAUAUGCACAUAUUAGGCAGUAAGGAAUGUAAACCUUUAGUAAAAAGCCAGUGAAUCUUAAAUCUAAUUUAAAUCUAAUUUAAAUGAUGAUUGCAAAGUAACUAUUUCUACCUACCUACUAUUUCUAAGUGUUUUUUAAUCUAUGUACGUGCAAAUGAAUACAUUUAAUUCAAUGUAUUUGGAAUUUAUUGUGAGAAUUUAUUUAUUAAUAUGUAGUGAGUGUAUUUUGGGGCUUUACAUACUUUGAUAUAAUCUUGUCACAAUAAAAGAAAAUAGAUUUUUUUUUUUUUUAUCUUGUUUGAUUUAUUAUGUUAUCACCAAUCCCUUGAUUGGGCACUUUAACAACUAAACGCAACCCACAUUUCUCAUUCUCCUGUUAAAACUGGAGGAGCAUUCGAGCUGACACUGCGUUCAUGUCAGCAGCUACAGAGCGGGCUGCAGUCUGCUGCACCGCCGGGAGCGUCCCGCGACCCACUCGCACUCUAGCUGCCACACUGCCGGCCGUAAUUACAAAGGGACUACCUGUUGUUCAAGCUGCUCCGCUGUCAUUACAUUUCGCCGGGAACGCUGCCUGGAGCUGCUGGGACUGCCUGGCUGCUGGGGGAGUCGUGCUGCCGUAUCACGAACGCGCGCUGGUGACACGCGGCUGAAAUAGAUGACAGCGCCCGCGGGGCCGGAGAGCGCGUUCUGCUGUCGGCUGCAACAUUCAGCAUCAUUAAACAGCAGCGAAUGAAUGCGAUGUCUGUUUGCUUCUCGGAGGCGCGCGUAUAUGUGUGUGCAUCAAAUGUAAAUAAGAGCGGAGACAAAAGUGAGCUAUCCAAACAACAUCUCUCAUGCUUGGAGACACCUGAUGGGGGUCUAAUCCAUCGCAUCGCUGUCAUUUUGCCGUCCUGACCCAUAAAGAGAGGAUGAGGGGUGGCAAAUGUAGGAGAUGGGUAGCUGACUCAUCAACUUGGAGCAAAAAAAAAAAAAAAAAAAAAAAAAAAGCUCUUCAAUGAACUCUUUCACCUGCCGCGAUCAUCACCACAAGAGUGUGUGUGAGUGUCUGUGUGAUUUGUGCUGGGUGCAGUGAUCACUUGUCAACAGCAGAGGGGACUCCAUUUACACAGAACAGGCAGCUGGCACUGGGGGGAAAGAGUGACUGACACGCUUAACCGCUCUUAAUCAGUGAAGUCAUACAGUCAGUGGCUUCUUUCAUUAUUCAGAUAUUCUCAUAAAUACCGACGAGGGGGGAAUCAAGGUUCAUAAAAUGCACAAAUGAACUGAAGGACAAAUGUGACAUGGCUGCAAACUCAGUAGUUUUGGAUAUUUCCAACUGUUCCCAAGCUUCUGAGAGACAUCAGAGCAUUACAGGUGCUGGACUCUUACAUCUGUAGAUGUUUCAACUCAUACAGCAGUACAAAAAAAAAAAUCCUGCAAUCAUUCAACUGUGUGGCGCUCAGGUAACCAUUACUCUGUCCAUCGCCACAUAAAGCCACAUAAAGCCACAUAAAGCCCGCCCAAAUGAUUCGAUUGGCUCAGCAGAUCUUUGCUGGAGAAUAAUCAGUUUCCAACAGGGUGGCUCCAGUCCAACUUUCCACUGCAAACCUUUCGCAGGCGGGGGGAAGUUGGGCUGGCUUCCAGGUUCUGCCGCUGCUCGUCCGCUGAAGAGGUGAGACACCAUACUUCCAAAAUAGCCGAAGCGUGGAAUUAAUUCUGUUAGUUUAAUAUGCUAAUUAGAUCAGUAGAGGGGAACAAGAAGAAGAUGAAAAAGGACCAGAAGAAGAUUUUUAACGGUGUUGACAUUUUUUUACGUUCUUAUUCCAUCACUGCAGCUCAAUAACACAAGAAACCUCUGUUUUCUGUUCCUCACAAUGCGAGGAAAAAGACCUACGACUAUUCAGUUAUAUUUAUGUGAUCAUAUGCUUUUCAUGCAAAACAACCAAAAGGACCACUUGUUGCUUCAUUUAUCUAUUUCGACUUUAUUUUUUUUUUUACUGAGGAAGUCAGUUCCCCCUCCCUGCGUUUUCACUAUAGGGAUCAAGGUCUAAAUGACUUUUCAAGGGGACAACUAUACACUCACACUAUCCCCAAAAAGGUCAGGGUUGGUCCUAUGUGUUCAGGAACUUUUGGUUUGGGGCAUGAAACAGUGCUCAUUGGUGAAACACACCAACAUUUUAAUUUUUUUUUUUUUUUUUUAAACACUGCAACUGCAAAAACACUGAUUUGCUCAUUGUUUGUGGAUGAAAAUACUCAGGACAAAGCUUUUCAAAAGCCCAGCGUUGUCUGUUUUUGCAGGUGGACUAAAUUUACAGCUAGUUUACGUUUGCUGUGCAUCAGACAGUCCAGCAAGGAUCUUGCCCGUAAUGUUGGGUGGAGAAUCCACUUUAUUGUUAUUUUUUUUUUUAAAUCUCUUCCUGUCUAAAUCUCUCGGGGGGACACUGCCAGAGAUACAUACAGCAUAAAGACAGGGAUAAAGAGGUCGCUCAAUAAGUUGUAAUUAUACGGUGGAGAGAUAUGACAAAGAGGCAGAGAGAAACUCAAAACGAUAAGGAGUUAGAGAGACAAAGUCAGAGCAAUGAUGUAGAUAUCCAGCAGCAAGUCCCAUCAGGUCGCUGCUGUGCAGAUACUCUGUACUCUGUUUUUAUCAGUCUUGUAAGUUCUAUUAACACGCACAGCACUUUCUAAUCGGCCUCUUUGCAGCGUUUUCCUCAUGCUGCACGGAUCAAUUGGCCGGCCGUGGCUGCUCGCGCUCAACGCAAGCACAGAAUGUCCAGUUGGUUUUACCCAUCGAUUACACAAAAUGCAGACAAAAGGAGAGAAAAAGAGAAAAGGCGUCAUUACUCUGAGCAUUUUUAGAAUAAUUCAACUAAAAGAAAGAUAUGGGUAUUAAUUAAAAGUAGUAGUAUAGUAAUGCUAUAGUAGUCGUUUGACUGCAGUCACGAUGGAAAUUCAACUACAGGAAAUCUGACCAAUCUUACAGGUCGAUUAUUUAGAGUUUACAGAGUAAAUCAGUCUAGAAGAAGUUCAUCUGGAUUCCAAAAUGACUUUGGAACCAAUAAACUUGACAAGAGUUCGAAAUCAUUCUGUCUAAAUGAAUCUCCAAGAUAUUCUCUGCUCGUGUUUACCAGCCGUCUUAGGGCCCGUUUCGGGGCGAUCACAUAAAAGACAUACAUUAAAUACCUCAGCCUACAUCAGGAUCACACACCUUUAUUAAAAAGGAAAAAAGCACCAUAAGUCAUGUCUGUUCGCUAGUAAUGAGAACACUUAAAAUAUUCCGUCCUUGCAGCUGUUCGAUAACUAAUAAAUAAAUAAAUCUAAUCAAGUAUUACCAAGAAAGUAUGUAAUUUAAGUGCACAAAUAACAUAUCAGCAUGCAGUUAAUUAUCGAUGUGAUCAUUCUGAUGUACUAGGAGUAACGUGCAGGUCUAACUAACGUCAGGGUGAAGGAUCAAUAAAUAACUUAACGUGCGGGCCCCAGGAAGAGACAGCUGUGCUCACAGCUCUGGAGCAGCCGCAAAGAUCCAUUAGAGACAUCAGCUGUUAAAAUAUUCUAUUGCACCCCAGAUGAUGUCAGGGUUUAUUUGCAUACAGAGCGAAACCGAGAUUGGCGGUGGAGAGCAGGCUGGAGAUGCAUUAGGAGACGCAUGUUAAUGCCAAGUGUGAACGCACUGCCCAGAGCUGGUCACUUAGGAUCAGACUGCGCAGGAAGGACGUUAAUGCCUUAUUCUGUUACGUGUCCUAUACACAGUCUCAUCUAAUCUGAUUAUUAUCUGCCUCACACACACACACACACACACGCACGCAUAUUAUCACCAGCAACAGGGCAGAGACGGGUGUGUGGGGAAUGUUCACGUGAAUCCACUCGUGCAUUGAGAUGAUGCAUGCGCUCAGAAUCACAGCAAAGGUUUGUUGUUGUGAUGACCGUCUGCCACUUUCUGUCCUGCCCUUCUAUUCAGCAUCAAUGCUCCCCAAGCCCCCCCCCCCC